CCUCUUCGCUGAAUACAGCUCACGGUAAGUACUGGUUCACACAGUUCGUUCUCUGGGUGCUCACUCUCUUUCUCUUUCUCCACAGGCAACGGCUGGGACACACAGGCACAGUUAGUUCAGCUUGGUUUUGCUCUCACCUCUUCGCUGAUUACAGCUCACAGCAUCAACUUGGGCACACUAGCACAGUUAGUUUGCUUUGAAUGGCUCUCACCUCUGGGCUGAACACAGCGUACUGUAAGUACAGGGUUCGCUCUAUUCCUCCUCGUGUUAUUCACUCUCUCUUUCCUUUCCUCUCCACAGGCAUCAACUUGGGCACACUAGCACAGUUAGUUUGCUUUGAAUGGCUCUCACCUCUGGGCUGAACACAGCGUACUGUAAGUACAGGUUUCCUCUGUUUCUCCUUGUGUUACUCACUCUCUCUUUCCUUUUCUCUCCACAGGUAUCAACUUGGGCACAAUAGCACAGUUAGUUUGCUUUGAAUGGCUCUCACCUCUGGGCUGGACACAGCGUACUGUAAGUACAGGGUUCGCUCUGUUUCUCCUUGUGUUACUCACUCUCUCUUUCCUUUCCUCUCCACAGGUAUCAACUUGGACGCAAAGCACAGUUACUCUGCUUUGGAUGGCUUUCACCUCUGGGCUGGACACAGCGUACUGUGCUAUCUCCGGAGAUCUGAAGCACGCUCACAACAUAUACUAUACUGAACUAGGCUAGGACCAGCAGUCUCCUUGUCCUCCCGCGACGAAGUGCGUGAAGGCGGGGGUUUAUCUGACAGGAC
ensembl:lncRNA